rnacentral:tRNA from 1 species
CUGUGAAAGAAGGGACAGAGAGCAUAAUUGAAUUCCGAAGGGGUUUCCCUUCUUUUUUUCAGGAUUCUGUCGAAGAAAGAACAAACCCUAAACUAAAAUGAAAAUAACUAAAAUAGUGAGUUGAUAGAAUAUUCCAUCUUUUCUCCUGCGACUCAUCUUUCUCAUACUUCCUUGUCUCCAAGAAAUUAGAUAAUUAAAAUUUAGAACCUAAUUCCUCUCUUUUUCCACUUCGUUUGUAUUGUUUGUUGGGGUUUUGUAGUUCGGACGGCCGGUUAGAUUUCGUUUCGUUUGAUGGUUCUAUAAGGAAGACCUAAGGUAGGUUAUAGAAAAGAAAGAACAGAAAAGAAGGAUACAGAAAGUAAAGCAACUUUUGGUUGGUCCGGGAAUCCAAGAUUGGAUUUGGUAUGGAUAAAAGAUGUUCGUAUGUUAUACUAUUCAAUUCUCGACGACGAAUUAAUUUAAUAGCUCAGAUAUUAUUAUUCAUGAUAUUGAUCCGAUUCAAGAUCAUCGAUAGGUAAUGCAUUCAUUGAAUUGACAGGUGAAAGAUUUAUCAUCUCUAUGGGAUUAAAUCCCGAGUUAUUGUGAAAUAAAAAAACGAUGAGAUUAUGGAAGUAAAUAUUCUUGCAUUUAUUGCUACUGCACUGUUCAUUUUAGUUCCUACUGCUUUUCUACUUAUAAUUUACGUAAAAAACAGUCAGUCAAAAUGAUUAAUUACUUUAAAUGAAACUUGACUUCUGAAUUCUUAUCAAUAGUUGAAGAAAUCAAAUGAAAAGUAUUCUAUUUUUACGUCUUAAAUGAAAUCAAACGGGCUAUCAUCGGCGGUCUUCUAUGAGAUCCGAGAGUAUGGUAAGUAAGAAAUAAAUUCUUACUUACCAUACUCUCUAUUAGUGUUAUAAUAGUGUAUAAAAAUUGUUUCUAAUAAAGUUGGUAUACUAUAUUAGCUUCUAUCUUCAAUAUUAGCUUCUAUCUUCAAUAGAUGUAAUUAUUAAUCCAUAUAUGUAAUUGACGUAGGACCCAAUUCUAGUUCGUUUGAUACAUCUAUUUAUUCCGAUGAAUCUGAAAUAAUUGUUUUACUGUUAUAGAAUAUAUUUCUCCACUAGAAUCCAAUGGAAUUUGAAAAUGAAGAUAUUUUGAUUUGAAUUGAAUAAUUUUCAAUCAAAAAUGCGUUGCAGAACGAUCUAUAAAACAAUUGAUACCGUUUCAUUCCUCAACUAAAUUAGGAGUGCUUCUAAAGUCCACUUCUUCCCCAUACUACGAGUGAAAGGGAAAAUGUAAAGACUACCAUUAAAGCAGCCCAAGCGAGACUUACUAUAUCCAUGUGAAUUAUGUCCCUUAUCUCUAUGAUAGAAUUAUUCCAUUAUUGCUCACUAAUAAUAGUAGAAUUAAUGGUCCAGAGUCAAAAAGGGAUUCUGGCCGAACACUAUUGAUGAACCAAUCAAAUAAAUCCAUUUCAAAAAUUCCUAUAUUAUUUCUAAUCGGGAAAGACUAAACACAAGUAAAAUAAAAAAUAACAUUACAAAGGAAUGUUACUAAUGGAACAUCUAGUAAUAAAAUAAAUAAGAGGGUCCAAUCAUUUUUUAUUGCCCUUCAAAGUAAAAAUAGAUCAAUUGCUAUCUAUUACAAAAUUUUCCUAUUUGAUCUAAUACGUACCCUUUCCCGAUUGUCUCUCUGAAGGAGUUGAGAGAUAGUAUAUUAUACUUUUGACGAGGGGUUAAAAUUUUUUUUUCACUUUUAUUUUCUAUAAAAAAGGAAAUUAUCCAUCUCAAUCUAAUCUAAUAGUGAUUGAAUGCCUAAACACUCAGAGAUUCUCGCGAGUCUAUAUAUGUAGAUUAUAGUAUAGAAAGAACUUCCCCCAACCAGUAGUUAAAUUAUCUGCCGGCUAUCCAAACCAAUCAGUAGACAUUACAUUAGUAGUAGAAAGGAAUCGGGAAGUCUUGCUUCGACCAUGACAAUCUUUCUUUUCAUUUUCGAUUCAAAAAUUGAUUUACAAAAUAUCCAGAACGGAUGUUUAGAAUCAAUCAAGUAUUAAUAGUCCCCUUAUUCUGUUCUGCUGGAUAAAAUUUGGUUGAGUUAUAUCAGCAGAACAGAAUAAGAGAUUUCGAUUCGUUUGUUGAUGAGGCGGCACCCGGAUUUGAACUGGGGAAAAAGGAUUUUGCAGUCCCCCGCCUUACCACUCGGCCAUGCCGCCAAAACGAUACACAAUAGGAUCAAAAUUUCCCUUUUGGGUUGUAUUACUAAAUUUUAGUUUAUUGUACUUGCAUCCUGUUUUUAAUCCUUUUUUUAAUUUAGAAAAAUUAGAAAAGAAACAUUUUUCCCCUUUUGAUUGUCUUUGAUCUACCCCUUCGAUUGAUUAUAUAGUAUCUCAAAACACACAAUGCCAAAAAGCUUCCCCUCACUUUUAUAUUGAAAAAGAAAAUGUAUAUUUUCACUCAAAAAAACCAAAAUUGAUGACAAAUGGGAACCAUUAACUAUUCGUUGACUGAGAAUUCGUGAAUGAUUAUUGGAUUUGAAUCUAAAAUUGGUUUACCUAAUGACAUAAGAAAAUACAAAUUGAUACAUACUUAAUUGAUUCUUUUGAAUCAAAAAUCCUUCUCAAUUUCCAUUAUAACAAAAAUGAUAAGUAUAUGUAAACCCCAGAACGGAAAUUGUUACAAAGAUACAAAAUUGGCUAUUUAGAGUAUGUUGCCUAUAAAUAAAAAAGAAAGGGAAUUUUUUGGAACAAAAAAGGCCCGGCUGGGUAUUGACCGGGCCAGGCCAAAAGGGCGCUUCGAACAAAAUAAAAGCAAGAAGGUCUUCUUUAUUUCUUUUUCUAUUUGGAUCUUUCGAGCAUCUAAAUGGAAUUGCUAAUUCUAUAAUAACGAUAAAGAAUGUGAAAGAAAUACUUUCUUUAAUCCUUAUUUGAUGUGUAAUGUAACAUAGUAAUUAUCUUUUUCAAU